rnacentral:tRNA from 1 species
UCGCCGAGGUCGACGACACGUUGCCCGCCGCGUCCCGCGCGCGGACCGCGUAGGAGUACGCGGUGCCCGGUGCGAGGCCGGUGUCGGUGAAC